AUUGAACGCUGGCGGCAGGCCUAACACAUGCAAGUCGAGCGGCUGAAGGGAGCUUGCUCCUGGAUUCAGCGGCGGACGGGUGAGUAAUGCCUAGGAAUCUGCCUGGUAGUGGGGGAUAACGUCCGGAAACGGGCGCUAAUACCGCAUACGUCCUGAGGGAGAAAGUGGGGGAUCUUCGGACCUCACGCUAUCAGAUGAGCCUAGGUCGGAUUAGCUAGUUGGUGGGGUAAAGGCCUACCAAGGCGACGAUCCGUAACUGGUCUGAGAGGAUGAUCAGUCACACUGGAACUGAGACACGGUCCAGACUCCUACGGGAGGCAGCAGUGGGGAAUAUUGGACAAUGGGCGAAAGCCUGAUCCAGCCAUGCCGCGUGUGUGAAGAAGGUCUUCGGAUUGUAAAGCACUUUAAGUUGGGAGGAAGGGCAGUAAGUUAAUACCUUGGUGUGUUGACGUUACCAACAGAAUAAGCACCGGCUAACUUCGUG
rnacentral:rRNA from 1 species